UCUUUCAUUACAUUUUCCACCCUAGCCCGGGUCUGAGGAAGGCUGUUGUACCUAGCCAUACUGAAACUGGGGAUGUGGCCACGAGUGGAAGUCUUUUCUCCUUCCGCCCGCCUCCUCCUCCUCUCCCUCUCUGAUGUGGUGAGCUGCAUGGAGGCAGAGAAGCUCGCCUGAGGCCCCACCUUGGCUCCCAGGAGGACAUCCUGCGAAAUGAAUCAGCAGCCAUCCUGAGCAGGCUGAUUAAAAUUAAAAUGGCAAGGCACAUGUCUGGGCGGAACCGGAGCCCAGCUCUGCUGCCUGUCUGGCAAGCAUGCUCAAUAUAGCUCUUGCUAAUAAUGGCUUACUGCCUUUCGUUUUUUUAAAAAGGAGGAACGGUGGUUGUAAGCCUUGAGGUGGAGGUCGCUUGAAAACCAAGACAACAUUUUUACACCCCAGACACAAUCAUUUCUAGCCCAGUUCCAGGAGCAGAGCUGGCUGGUGAGCGAGGCGCUGCUGCACUUCACGGCUCAGUGGGAUAUGCUGAAGUGCAGCCGUGGUGGGAGCUUAUUUCUGCUCCAAGCACUUGCAAGCAGCCCUUUACUGUAUCCCAGAUAUUAUGUAGCACAAAGAA